CCCAGACUCCUACGGGAGGCAGCAGUGGGGAAUAUUGCGCAAUGGGCGAAAGCCUGACGCAGCGACGCCGCGUGAGCGAAGAAGUAUUUCGGUAUGUAAAGCUCUAUCAGCAGGGAAGAAAUUGACGGUACCUGAGUAAGAAGCUCCGGCUAAAUACGUGCCAGCAGCCGCGGUAAUACGUAUGGAGCAAGCGUUAUCCGGAUUUACUGGGUGUAAAGGGAGCGUAGGCGGCCUGCCAAGUCUGAUGUGAAAUACCGGGGCUCAACCCCGGGGCUGCAUUGGAAACUGACAGGCUGGAGUGUCGGAGAGGCAGGCGGAAUUCCUAGUGUAGCGGUGAAAUGCGUAGAUAUUAGGAGGAACACCAGUGGCGAAGGCGGAUUACUGGACGAUAACUGACGGUGAGGCGUGAAAGCGUGGGGAGCAAACAGGAUUAGAUACCCCGGUACU
rnacentral:rRNA from 1 species